CAAAGGGGAGGAGGCGGGAGCGAGCCGCCGCCGCCGCAGAGGGGCCGGGAGCCCGGAGCGCAGCUCGCGGCCCCCUCCCGGACGGCCUCUGCAGCCGCGGGGACCCCGCGUUCGGGGCUCCCCUGCUCCCUUUCAAUGAAGACAUUCAAAUGUUGUUUUAAAUACCCAGCACAGCAGAAAGUUUUCAUCUUGUUUUUAACUCUAUGGUUGUUCUCCCUGUUGAAGCUUCUGAAUGUGAGAAGACUCCUCUUCCCUCAAAGAGGCAUUUACUUGGUUGAAUACUCCCUGAGUACCUCACCUUUUGUAAGAAACAGAUACACCAAUGUUAAGAAUGAAGUCAGGUAUGAAGUUAACUGUUCGGGUGUCUAUGAGCAGGCACCUUUGGAAAUUGGCAAGAGUCUGGAAAUAAGAAGGAGAGACAUCGUCGACUUGGAUGAUGAGGACGUCAUGGCAAUAACCAGUGACUGUGACAUUUAUCAAACCCUAAGAAGGUACCGUCAAAAACCUGUUUCAAGGGAGGAGAAAAGCUUCCCGAUAGCGUAUUCUUUGGUUGUUCAUAAAGACGCGAUUAUGGUUGAAAGACUAAUCCAUGCUAUAUACAACGAGCACAAUAUUUACUGCAUCCAUUAUGACUAUAAGUCACCUGACACCUUCAAAGUUGCCAUGAACAAUUUGGCUAAGUGCUUCUCCAAUAUUUUCGUUGCCUCCAAAAUAGAGACAGUACAAUAUGCACACAUUUCCAGACUCCAAGCUGAUUUAAAUUGCUUGUCAGACCUCCUCAAGUCUUCAGUUCAGUGGAAAUACGUUAUCAAUCUGUGUGGGCAAGAUUUUCCUUUGAAGUCAAACUUCGAAUUAGUGUCAGAGCUGAAGAAACUCAAUGGGGCCAAUAUGUUAGAAACGGUAAAACCCCCUAACAGUAAAAUGGAAAGAUUCACUUAUCACCACGAACUAAGACAGGUGCCUUAUGAAUAUGUGAAGCUACCAAUAAGGACAAACAUCUCCAAGGAAGCCCCCCCUCAUAACAUUGAGAUAUUUGUUGGCAGUGCUUAUUUUGUUUUAAGUCGAGCAUUUGUUAAAUAUAUUUUCAACAACUCUCUUGUUAAAGACUUUUUUGCCUGGUCUAAAGAUACAUACUCACCUGAUGAACAUUUUUGGGCUACCUUAAUUCGGGUACCAGGAAUUCCUGGGGAGAUUUCUAGGUCAGCCCAGGAUGUGUCUGACUUACAGAGUAAGACCCGCCUUGUCAAGUGGAAUUAUCACGAAGGCCUUUUGUAUCCACGUUGUACUGGCUCCCACCUUCGAAGUGUGUGUAUCUACGGAGCAGCAGAAUUAAGGUGGCUUAUCAAUGAUGGACAUUGGUUUGCUAAUAAAUUUGAUUCGAAGGUCGACCCUGUCUUGAUUAAAUGCCUGGCAGAAAAGCUUGAAGAACAACAGAGAGAAUGGAUUACUUUGUCCUCAAAAAAUCCCAUUUUUAUGGCUAAAAGUCCCAUAAUCACAUCAUGAUAACAUCAUGAUAGAAAUAAGGUUAUCGGAUAAAUGGAGCUAAUACAGAAUUGUGUGCUAUAUACUAUGCCCAGUGCCAUUUGAGCUUAACCUCAUAGUUUGAGAGGUGUCCAAAAUUCCACACAUAUGGCAAAAGGACCUAGACUUUGGUGACAAUUAGCCUGCACUUGGAUGGGUGUUUUUAUGUUUGUUUUUCCUUGUAGUCUUCUGGAGCUAAACCAGAGAUCUGAAACAAUCAUCAGAUGCUUAUUGACUUCCAGCUAUGUGCCAGAAAACUACCACAACGAAUCAAAUAUACAUCCAUUUUAAUGUAACUGUGUUGUGCUGGAGUUGAAAUGGGACAGGAGCACAGCCCUGAGAACAGACUGUAACAUUUUUACGUCUCUUCGGAAAUCGUGAGGCUCAUAUAAAAAUUUCUUCCUGGUCUUAUGUUUCAGUGUCAGGUUCAGAAUCUACAUAAAGAUGUAAUAAUCAAAGCCAAUAUGAGACCAUUUGGGAGACUAAGGUAUUUAAAUAUUUUCUAAAAUGUCUGUGUUCUACCUGUGAAAUGCACUUUGCUUGUUUUAAAGCAUAUGAUGCUGACUGCCAAGUGAUAUCACUAUGCUCCCUUUCUUCCUCCCUAGAACUCAUUUUUCUUCCUUUUUUUCCCCCUCCCUACUCAGCUCCACAUUAUUUCAUUCUUCAGAAAACAACUGUGACCAAGCCCCUUUUCUUAAAAGUAAGUCACUGUUGGACAGAGCUGAGUUCCACAGAAGAUACAUACCAUUUUGGUGUGUGUGACUGUGACAAGCUAAGUCACUUUGUCUCUAGGAGCCUCGGUUUUCCUGCUCUUUGAAGUGAACUUGGAUGCUUACCCUGGCUUCCUCACGUGUGUGUGUGUGUGUGUGUGUGUGUGUGUGUGUGUGUG